GUCCACGCCGUAAACGAUGAUAACUAGCUGUCCGGGCUCAUGGAGUCUGGGUGGCGCAGCUAACGCAUUAAGUUAUCCGCCUGGGGAGUACGGUCGCAAGAUUAAAACUCAAAGGAAUUGACGGGGGCCUGCACAAGCGGUGGAGCAUGUGGUUUAAUUCGAAGCAACGCGCAGAACCUUACCAGCUUUUGACAUCCCGAUCGCGAUUACCAGAGAUGGUUUUCUUCAGUUCGGCUGGAUCGGUGACAGGUGCUGCAUGGCUGUCGU
rnacentral:rRNA from 1 species